GACGAACGCUGGCGGUGUGCUUCACACAUGCAAGUCGAACGAGGUAGCAAUACCUAGUGGCGGACGGGUGAGUAACGCGUGGGAAUCUGCCUUUAGAUGGGGGAUAACGGGUCGAAAGACUCGCUAAUACCGCAUAUGACGAAAGUUGAAAGGAGUAAUCCGUCUAAAGAUGAGCCCGCGUCCGAUUAGCUAGUUGGUAGAGUAAAAGCCUACCAAGGCGACGAUCGGUAGCUGGUCUGAGAGGAUGAUCAGCCACAAUGGGACUAGAAGAC
rnacentral:rRNA from 1 species